rnacentral:rRNA from 1 species
AGUAAAAGUCGUAACAAGGUUUCCGUAGGUGAACCUGCGGAAGGAUCAUUACAGAGUUCAUGCCCGAAAGGGUAGACCUCCCACCCUUGUGUAUUAUUACUUUGUUGCUUUGGCGAGCUGCCUUCGGGCCUUGUAUGCUCGCCAGAGAAAACCAAAACUCUUUUUAUUAAUGUCGUCUGAGUACUAUAUAAUAGUUAAAACUUUCAACAACGGAUCUCUUGGUUCUGGCAUCGAUGAAGAACGCAGCGAAAUGCGAUAAGUAAUGUGAAUUGCAGAAUUCAGUGAAUCAUCGAAUCUUUGAACGCACAUUGCGCCCCUUGGUAUUCCGGGGGGCAUGCCUGUUCGAGCGUCAUUUCAACCCUCAAGCUUAGCUUGGUAUUGAGUCUAUGUCAGUAAUGGCAGGCUCUAAAAUCAGUGGCGGCGCCGCUGGGUCCUGAACGUAGUAAUAUCUCUCGUUACAGGUUCUCGGUGUGCCUCUGCCAAAACCCAAAUUUUUCUAUGGUUGACCUCGGAUCAGGUAGGGAUACCCGCUGAACUUAAGCAUAUCAAUAAGCGGAGGAAAAGAAACCAACAGGGAUUGCCUUAGUAACG